UGUCCUCCAUAAGAGGUCUAUAUUGAGGAGAUUCUUUUUGGUGUUAGGUGGUGGAACCAGAGCUUGCUCCAUCCACUCCAUGCAUUGACCUGGUAUUACAGUGCUUCCAGGACCGGUGC
rnacentral:snRNA from 1 species